AUAUGAUAACAUCCAUAAAUAUAGAAAGAUUGUUAGAAUUAAUUUAACUGACACACUCUGGGCCUACAGUCAUGUAAGAAAACUAUCAAACACAUUCUUAAUUUUUAAUGAAUAAAUUUGGUCCCAAAAUUUAAAUAUGCAAGUUAAAGGAAUCAAAUAGAAAAUUACAAUGUGAAUCACAUAAACAAUUUGGAAUGCACUAUAUAUCAACUGACAUUUAUUUAUAUGAAAUAGGACGAGACCGACAUUUAUCUAUGAACUAGGAUGAGAAAAAAUGGCUUUGUUCCUCUUAUUUCUCUAAGGGCAUGUUUGGUUUGUUGUAAAACCGCACUAAAAUUUUUUUUCCUCUGAAAUUUAUUUUUCAUAUUUUUACAUAAAACCAAACACCCCCCUAAGCUAGAGAUUCAUGAAUUAGAUACAUAGAUGUAGAUCGUCCAAUGAGAACAAGUACUUUAUGACCAUUUGAAUGAUUUUGUUUCUAGAUUAUGUUCUAACGAGUUAAAUGCCAUCCUUGCGAGCAUUAGCUAGGAAUCAUUUACUAGAAGAUCUUUAUAGUAUCCCAGUGCUUUUACAGCAAGAUGAAUAUGGAAUCUUUGAAAUGCCAACAUUUAACAUGUUUUUUUGUUUUUUAAUUUGCAUCGAUUGAGUUUCUGAAGAAGUGUUAUUUGUGAAGUUGUGACAAACUUUUAAUAUUUUUUUUUUUUUUUUGAGAGAUAGGUAGCACGCUACCCGCUUCGUUUAUUUUAUUUAGAAAUAAACUUAGCUGAAAAUGUGAAUCAACUAGGAUUUGAACUUUUAAUAAUAUUAUUAACAUCGUCCUCCUGAAGCGAAAGGUAAUUAUACCAUGAAGUUUUGUUACCAUUGGAUUACAAGUCUAGCUACUAUAGUUUUCUCCUUAAACUAAAUUUUUUCUUGAAUUAAGGGCUAAUUUGGUCGAGCUUUUUUUUUUUUUUUCAAUAGUCUGUUUGACAAAGAGAAAAGUCUACAACUUUUGUUGAGACGAGGCUUCAAAUAUGAUUUUGAGCUCGAAAUGCAGAAGCUCUAAUUUAUAACACUUCUCUAGAUACAAAUUAUCGGGAAGAAAUUGCUGUCUGAAAGUACUACUAAUUAGGUUGUGAAAAAAAAAGAGCUAACAUUUUAUGAUAGUAUAUAUACUUCUUAUAAUAAUACUAAUAAAUUAAUAUUUUACUAAAUGUCGGUACUCUUCUUCCCUGUAAAAAGAAAAAAGGAUAGUUGCAAGAAAAUCAUUUACUCGGACAAUUAUAUUAGCAAAGCAAGAUAUAUUGGAUUAAUAGAGCUGAUCACAUCUGGUUGGUGAGUAAUCUCCUCUGUCUAGCUACUAUCAAUUUUAAAGAAUAAAUGAGACUAGAAUCUGAACCGAAGUAAUUCAUACUUUAAGACUUUAAAUUUUAGGCUUAUAAUUAAGUAACUUUCUAUAUAUUUUACAACUAUAUUUAUAAUCUUUGGAUGAAAAAUUAUAGGGUUGGAAUGAUAGUAGUCUUCUAUAAGAGUUUAGUGGUGAUCCCUCAGGAUUUAGUAGGUGAUUGGUAAAAUAGUAUAAUCUAAGAAGUGGAAUUUAUCAAUAUAUAGAUCUAAUGGUGAAAAUUUUGAUAGCAUCAAGUGUUUAGUACUAUUAAUAGUAUUCCAGUGGAACUAUAUAUAUACAUAUAGAAUUAGGCUACUAAACAAUUGAUAAUAUCAGAGCUCCGAUAUUAUAGUCUUAUUUUUUAUCUUAGGGUGUUCAAAUCAAUGAUUCACAUCAUUAAAAAUGAUUUAGAAUAUAUAAAAUUUUUAGAGAUAAAAUUUUAAGUAUUUUCGACACCGUUUACUUAGUAAGUAAAUCAUGUCAAAAUGAAUGACAAAAAUUAAACAAUCCUUAAAAUUUGAGGAUAGAACUUUUGAAUUUAAGAUCAAGAAUGUUGACCUUGAUAUAAAUAGUUUAAAAGUAUUCUCUAUCAAAAUUUGAAUAAAUUUAGAUUUUUUCUACACCGUUAAACUACAAACUCGUUAUAGUAACCAUUGAAAAUUGACAAUUUUGAAAUGGUUUGAUUAUAAAGUAAACUAUGUCGAAAAAAUAUAAAAUUUUAUUUUUAAGAACUUCAAAUAUUCUAAAUCAGUUUUAACGGUGUUGAUUAUUGAUUUGAACAUUUUAAGAUAAAAAUAACUCUAUAGUACUAGAGCUCUCGUACUAUAGAUAAUAUAGGAGCCUAACACACUCUCUCUCUAUAUACAUAAGUCCGACUGUGGUGUUUUUAAAAGUACAAAGUAUUUGGUACUUAUAAAUUUUUCACUGUUAGAUCAUUAAUCUCUUUGAUUAUUUUCACCCGUUAGAUUAUACUAUUGAACCGACUACCUACUCAACUCUUGUGGACUAUAAUUAUCCUAACGGCAUAUUCCUUAAUCCAAAAGCCGCCUACAAGUACCAAUGACUGAGUAUUUUUAAAAAUGAAACCGAGCUA
rnacentral:lncRNA from 1 species